rnacentral:lncRNA from 1 species
CUGGCGCGGCGGGCGCGGAACACUACUGAGCCUGUGGCGGCCACCGAGACCCUGGCUGAGGUACCCGAACAUGUGCUGCGAGGACUUCCGGAGGAAGUGAGGCUUUUCCCUUCUGCUGUUGACAAGACCCGGAUUGGUGUCUGGGCCACUAAACCAAUUUUAAAAGGCAAAAAAUUUGGGCCAUUUGUUGGUGAUAAGAAAAAAAGAUCUCAGGUUAAGAAUAAUGUAUACAUGUGGGAGGUGUAUUACCCAAAUUUGGGAUGGAUGUGCAUUGAUGCCACUGAUCCAGAGAAGGGAAACUGGCUGCGAUAUGUGAAUUGGGCUUGCUCAGGAGAAGAGCAAAAUUUAUUCCCACUGGAAAUCAAC